CCUACGGGCGGCAGCAGUGGGGAAUAUUGGACAAUGGGCGCAAGCCUGACCCAGCAACGCCGCGUGAAGGAAGAAGGCUUUCGGGUUGUAAACUUCUUUUCUCAGGGACGAAGCAAGUGACGGUACCUGAGGAAUAAGCCACGGCUAACUACGUGCCAGCAGCCGCGGUAAUACGUAGGUGGCAAGCGUUAUCCGGAUUUACUGGGUGUAAAGGGCGUGUAGGCGGGAAAGCAAGUCAGAUGUGAAAACCAUGGGCUCAACCUGUGAACUGCAUUUGAAACUGUUUUUCUUGAGUACUGGAGAGGGAGACGGAAUUCCUAGUGUAGCGGUGAAAUGCGUAGAGAUUAGGAGGAACACCAGUGGCGAAGGCGGUCUCCUGGACAGCAACUGACGCUGAGGUGCGAAAGCGUGGGGAGCAAACAGGAUUAGAUACCCCAGUAGUC
rnacentral:rRNA from 1 species